rnacentral:lncRNA from 1 species
CUCUGCACCACAGAGGCCAAAUGGAGGCUUCCCAAGGACCAGACUCUUUGGGAACACUAAGAGGCAACACCCUUGGCAUGUGCUGUGUUCUCAUGAUGGACAGUGACCCUGGAAAAGUUUCAGCCUCGACAAAGCCUCAGCAAGUGGCCCUGCAAGCAGAAGCUGGACAUGUGGGAGCUGGGGCAGAAGCAAAAUAACAGGGCAGAAGACCAUGGCAACUGCGAAAGAACGACUGAGGAAACUAUCACAUGGGAGAGCCUCAACCUUCACAGAAAAGCAUGAGGGAAAUGAAAAUACACAUGGCUUGCAUAUCAUAAAUAUGGAGAAACUUCCAUUGAAUCUGUCACUGCUGUGUGCCUAUUCCCUCCUCUCACUGGGGCCUCCAAUCCCUCAACCACCAGUGUUCUGGUCCACUUUUUAGCCUGGCUUGCCCUUCAUACCCCUGGAGAUCAUGAACAGUCAUAUCCGCAAUAUUCUAUUAGAAUUCUUGAUUUUCCUGCUGACUUGUCCUUCUGCUGUAGCUAUUUUAUCAAUCCCUAUCCCUGAGUACAGUAAAUUGUCUAUUUUCUCUCUUCCUGCUUUUUUUACUGGACAAAGGAACAUGACCUGGCCAAAAUUUCUUCUCCUGGGAUGUUUGUCUGCCCUGCUACUUAUAUCCAUUGUACCCAUUUCCAACAACCAUGCACCCAUGGCUUUACCCAGAGUCCCUGGAAUCUUUUCAGGUUCAUGUAAACUUAAAAUUUAUGCAAAGGAAAUCCACCAAGGAUUGGAAACCAAAAAACAAACGUAUGACAUCAUGCUAUAAUUUCACACACACAGAAUUAUUUUAAAAAUA